UUAAUUGAAACCAAAAAGAGGUAUGUCACUGUUAAUGACAAAAUUGAAUUAUUUUCCAAUUAAA
rnacentral:tRNA from 1 species